UGGGAGAUGACGGGGAGGAGCAGAACGGCUUGCAGAUGACGGGCCUGAAUCUCAUGGACAAGAAGAUGACCGUCCGGGGAGCUAGGAUUGCCUCUUCAGGUUAUACAAACAUGAAUGGAUGCUAUUUUUAGUAGAUGCUGUUCAUGCUAAUAUGAAUGGAUGUUGGACCAUAUUGUUUGUGGCAUAGGCAGUAAAGGUUGUCAAUCUGAUAGAUAUUUGGCUAUAUUGUAUUGUUGAUCUGUUAGAUGUUUGUCUAUAUUGUAUUAUCU
rnacentral:lncRNA from 1 species